ensembl:lncRNA
GGGGCCGUUGUGAGGGAGCGUCGUGUUUUAUUUUUUUGUGGGAUUGGGGGGGAGGGGGGAGGGCUGUGGUGUUUUUUGCAGUUUCGAGAUGUUUUCUUUUUAAUGUUUUGCUGUGUGCAUGUGGGGGCGGGGCGGUGGGGAGGGAGGGACUCCCAGCCCAGCCCAACUCCUGGAGAGGGGCCCAAAACACACGAAUAUAUAGUUAUAUCUACAAACUAUAUAGACGCUUUAUCUGAAGAGACCAAGGUAAAGAGAAGGGAAGCAGAAAGGCAAGGGACAAGGGGUGGACGUGGGCAUUCAUUCAUUCAUUUUUCAUUCAUUAUUCCACAAGGGUUUAUUAAGCACCUGCUGUGUACUGGGUUGGCGGGGGUGCUGGACAGGGAAAAUCAACAGGCACAGAGAGGAACUCAUUCAUUCAUUACUGGCAAUUUUAUUUGUGUACCUAAGUGCUCAGCAAUGUGCUGAAUGCUGAGCUACACAAGAGAGCAAGACGGACAGGGUCCCCAACGUCCUCACAGAGCGUACAUCUUAUGCAUGAGACAGACAUUAAUCAAAGAAUUGUGUACACAAACAGUAAGUUACAAUUAGGACAUAAGAAAAAUCUGGAGGGCUACGAAAUGCUUCGUCAGGGAGGCUUAACCUAGUUUGAAAGAAAGGGUUAUUUUAGCUGACACUGAAAGGAUGACAGAAAGCCAUCCAGGGGAAGCUGGGGGAUGUGUCUCAGCUAGAGAACAGCAUAUGCAAAGGCCCUGGGGCAGGAAGAGUUUCCAGAGAGAGCUAAAGUGUAGAGAGCCAGGUGUAGAUGGAGCGAGAUGAGGCUGGCGAUGUAGACAGGACCAGACUGCCCAGGGACUUGUAGUUUAGUCCAGAGUUUAGAUUUUAUUCUAAGGGCAGCAGGAAGCCACGGAAUGACUUUAAGCAGGAGCCUCCCUACCGUGAAUGGUGUACAAAGGGAGGCAGGAACUCAGAAGGGAGAGCAAGAGGCAGACACACGCUGAAAUUCGGCAUCAAACACGGGCACUGGCCCUUGAAACUCACCCUGGUGGGAGGAAGCACACAAUUACACAAGUACUGAAGUGCAGGCAUGGCGUCUGGUGCUCUGGAGAAACACUGGGACUCAGAGAUUCGUGCUUCACUCGUUAAUUCAGCCAAGCACUCGUUGACAUUUUUGCGCCUCUGCCAACACACCAGGCAGUGUGUUAGAAUCAGCAUCCCCCGAGGUGACACAGGGAAACAGACCCUACUCUGCUCUCAAGGAGGAGCCAUCGAGAAACGCAAUAUCGAGGCAGGGUGAUGGGUACUGUAACAGGGCCCACGAUGGGCACCUCAGGCAGAGGACAGAGUGACCAGCUGCCAGGAGUGGGCAGUAAUUUCGGGGGAGACUUCUUGGAGAAUGGCAUGCCCGGCCUGGGCUUUAGAAGGAUGAGUAGGAGCCUGCCAGGUGAUGAAGGGGGUGAGGAAGGCUUUCACGGGGCAGGGGGACAAGCUGGGCAAAGGCCCUGGGGGGCGUGAAACAGCGGGCUGUACUGGGGACAGUGCUCACGGUUCCGGGAGCUGAAGGGCAGGGGACAGGAGAUACAGGAGAAUUCUGAGCAGCAGAAGAGCAGGAUCAGAUGUGAGUGUUAGAAGGAGCCCCUGGGGUGUGGGAUAGGGCUGAACACGAGGCAGAUGCUCUGGGAUAAUGAGAGGAUGGCAGUUGAGCUGGG